UUUAUCAAGAAGGUGGAGGGACUGGCCCUGUGAAACCUAGCAACAGCUAACUACGUAAGUUAGAAUUGUGCUAAAUCCUGCGUGGAAAUAUAAAAGUUUUAAGAACUUAUUUUCAUGAAAGAUAA
rnacentral:ncRNA from 1 species